AUGACAGAACAGCCUAUCAAUACACUCAGCUGGAAUGUGAGAGGGCUUAAUUGCCCAGACCGUAGAGCAACUGUCAAGGCUACCAUAUCGGACACCACUUGUCAUUUGGUCUUUCUCCAGGAGACUAAGUUGAGCACCGUUGGCAGAUACAUUGCUGCUUCUCUCGGUGGAAACAAGCUUCAGAGUUUCGCGCACCGCCCGGCCACCGGAACCAGGGGCGGAAUCCUUAUGCUAUGGGAUGACAGCCUCCUUCAUGUCUCCGACAUCACCACCUCGACUUUUUGUCUCUCUGCUAUGGUGCGGAUUCGCGCUUCCGACUCAUCCUUCAAAAUCACGUCCGUCUAUGGCCCCACCGACAGCGCCUCCAAAGAUGCAUUCUUUGCGGAGCUGCUUAGCCAGAAGCCACCUCCGGGAGUGGCAUGGCUUGCCACUGGAGACUUCAACCAAAUCUACCAUGCCAGGGAUAAAAACAAACGGAAUGUUAACCGUAGCAGAAUCAAUCGCUUUCGUGCCGCUUUGCAAUCUUGCGAGCUCAAGGAGAUCCAUCUACAGAACAGGCGUUUCACCUGGAGCAAUGAGAGGACAAAUCCCACCCUUUGCAAACUUGACUCCUUCUUCUGCAACGCCGAGUGGGACACCACCUUCAACACCCAUGUGUUGCAUGCCUUGUCGUCAUCCCUCUCCGACCACUGCCCUCUCUUGCUUGCUGAUGACAAAGGACCCAAAAGACCUCGGUCUUUCAAGUUUGAAAAUUUCUGGACCACCCUUCCAGGAUUCCAUGACAUUGUCCAAAAGGUAUGGGCCGAGGGCGUGUCACACACGGAGCCUUAUCUCAUAUUGCAUCACAAGCUCAAGAAGACCGCGCUACGUCUCAAGGAGUGGAGUAGAAGACUCUUCUCAGCAGCGAACAUUCACUUCCACGCGGCACUACUCGUGAUCCUAAGGUUGGACAUUGCGCAGGAAUCGCGCCCCCUAUCGCCGGAGGAGCUUGACCUACGUGCUAGACUAAAACGCAGGGAGAGAGCGGAAAAACAGUGGCUGAUCAAGCGAUCAAUGGAUUGGGUGCUGGAUGCAUUUGGCUCCGACAAUCCUCCAUUGCUCAAUGUCCCGGCGGCAGGCUUCAAUGAUGUUGUUCACGCUUGGGAUCUUCCCCCUGAAGAGCUGCACAGGGUCCAUCUGAUUUUGUCUGCCCUCCCCUCUUCAAGAAUGAUUCCGGCGCUUCUCAUCUCCCUAGCAAGUUGCAGCACCAGAGCCUCCCGGACUGAUAUGUUUUUGCGGAUGGAUUGGGCGAACACCGUCGGGUAUGCCAGACAUACCUGCCUACCGCCAAGCCACGAGGAGGACCAGAAGGACGCCGUUGCGCCGUCGCCGAUGGUGACCGCCGUGCAAGCAGCGAACAGGGCACGAUCGGUAGCGUCGCAAGGGGUGCUUAUGGAUGGUGAGGAAUGGGGACGCUUGGGCUCAUCGACCAUCCACCAUUUGCUCCAGGAUAAUGCACGCCGCACACGAUGGGUCGAGACAAAGGGCCGUGCAAAGUGCAAGAUGCGCGCGAUGCUGACAACUCACAAUAUAUGUAGAAGAAAAGUGGUAUUAUGGAUAUAUGUCUGGAGAGGGGAGACCGUGUCGGUGCCCGAACCAGAGACUAAUCAAGAUGAAGAUGCAGAUGCAUGCGGUGCCAAUCCAUUCGUGAGAGAAAGGAAAAAGGCAGAAAAUAAAGAGGACGCAGGAAGAAACCACAGAGCUAAGAGCAAGAAGUACAGGAGGGAAAAGAUCAUGGACAUCCAUGCAGAUGCAGAUGCUAUGCUCAUGCAUGGCAGUCAUAAAAUCGCACAAGGGGCCGCAUGUGGCCAUUGGGUUAACCCCUUAAUUCCCUGUCUCCUCUCCUCUCCUCUCCCGAUCCAUCCAUCCAUAUCUCUCUCCCAUCUUUCUCUGCUCAAGCCCUCGACUGCAUCACGGUGCACUGCGCCUCUGCCCCCACCUCCUUCUGCCGCCCGCCUGCGCAUUGCCGCUAGGUUAGGUCACCACGAACUACCGGCGCACCGCGCCGCGCCAUCGACCUACGAUCGCGGAGAAGUUGCAGAUCAUGGGAGAGCAGCCAUGCUAUGUCAUCCGUGGUGCCCUCUUCUUGCAUCGCCCGUGUGGAAAUUGGUAGGAGGCCAAUUUGGCCUUUCCUUUUGCUCUCUGAGUUUAGCGAUUGACAUCUUUGCUGAUUCGCUUGGUACAAAUCAACCAACAACAGAUUGGUCGCCGGAGGCGGAGCUACCUGAAGUUACCGGGAUGCACAGGCAUCAGGCUCUCUACAACCUAGGUGACAGUAAGAGCACAUGGCCAAAGCACGGACGCUGCAGCCUGCACUCAAUCCUAGAGCGGUCAAGCAUCCGUGCAGCGCCGACCUGGAUUAGAGAGUUGAUUUUCUCCAGCUCGGCCCUGUUGAUCGCCACUGCUAUACAUGCAACAAGAGCGUCUACCAUGUUAACCGCCAACACCAGUACCCAAGAAGAAACCUUCCCCGGCGGCGGUGAGGAACAUGACAAAGUUGACGGUGCAUGA
rnacentral:rRNA from 1 species